rnacentral:rRNA from 1 species
CGCGACCCCAGGUCAGGCGGGGCUACCCGCUGAGUUUAAGCAUAUCAAUAAGCGGAGGAAAAGAAACUAACGAGGAUUCCCUAUAC